GUGAGUGGAGUGUGAUGUCACCCAUGAGGUCAUGUGGUGGGCCAAUUUGUUGGAUUAAAGAAAAGGGAAAAAGGAAAAGAAAUUGGCCUCCCUUCUUCUCUCUCCUCCCUCUCUUCUUCCUCUCCCGUGCGAUUCCUCCAUGGUUGGUGUGCGAAGACCAGAAAAAUUGCAGAGGAAGAAGCCGAAGCAGCCCCUCGCCGUCCGCCUCCUUCGCCGCUCGUCGCCCGUCACCGGAGCUCGCCGCUCGCUGCCGUCGCGCCGCUGCUCUUCCCACGUUCGCCGUCGUCCUCGCUCGUCUUCACGUUUGGGAGGCUGUCCGACCAGCCUAGGUCACGAAUCAGCCACCGUGAGCCGCCGUGCGCCCCCGCCUUAGCCCGUCGGAGCUUCGCCUUGCCUCCGCCGCCCUUGGCCGCCCGAACCGGCGCCGGAUCUGCUCCCUCUCGGCCCCGAUCAGCAACCCAGAAAAUGGGUAUGGCAGCCCGUGUUUGGCCCGUUUUGGCCGCCUUCCCGAGCCCGGAUGCUUGGCCCGCUUUGAGGAAAGUCGAUCCUCGCGUUGUCCCCGUCGUUUUGGUCCGCUCGGCUCGCUAAUCCGGUGAGUUUAACUCACUAAACCUUGAUUAGACGGUUAAUGAUGCCCUAAGUGUGCUUAGCCUAAGUUAAGUAAGCUUAGUUGGUUAAAUUAGUUUAUUUGGUUGAUGAUUAGAUUAUG
rnacentral:lncRNA from 1 species